CGAAAGCCUGACGGAGCAAUACCGCGUGAGGGAGGAAGGCUCUUGGGUUGUAAACCUCAAAAAUUAGGGAAGAAGAAAGUGACGGUACCUAAUCUAAGCAUCGGCUAACUCCGUGCCAGCAGCCGCGGUAAUACGGAGGAUGCAAGCGUUAUCCGGAAUUAUUGGGCGUAAAGAGUCCGUAGGUGGCAAUUCAAGUCUGUGGUCAAAGACUAGAGCUUAACUCUGGAAAGGCCGUGGAAACUGAAGAGCUAGAGUUCGGGAGGGGUAGAGGGAAUUCCCAGUGUAGCGGUGAAAUGCGUAGAUAUUGGGAAGAACACCGGUGGCGAAAGCGCUCUACUGGACCAUAACUGACGCUGAGGGACGAAAGCUAGGGGAGCG
rnacentral:rRNA from 1 species